CCNCGAAUCGAUCGUUGCAUCACAGGUUGCGGAGAAACUUGCGGGCGUAAAAGAGGAAGAGCACACGUCAUAGGCAUCACAACAGCCGUCUUUGAGUUGUUGUUCAAUGUCUUGAUGUCAACAGGUAUAUUGUCAUGCAUUCUUUCGCUGGUGGUGGGCUAACACGGAUGUUGUAGGCACUGGCAUUGGUCAGAUUUUCCUUUUGAAACAUUUUGUUUUGUGAGCUCAGAUCCAAACCAACCAACCCUCAGCAAGCCCCCAAAACAAAUGAAAAAGUCAUUUAAGUGUACAUGUGUGUAGUUAUUUGCAUGAAAGCAAGAAACUAUUGAAUGCCGGCUGAGAACGUCUGCCCAAAAAGACUUUAUUUAUUUUGCUUCAAUUGCCAAUGUAGCUUGAGUUCAUUCAGGUCAGAUUUAAGCAUGACGUCAACACAAAUUGAAUUUAUUACUUCAUGGCAUAUAUCCGCCUCAUGACCUAGUAAAUGCUAAAUGUCUUUCACGUCUUGCAAAUUUCACUGUAAAUGUUUUCUGACCUGAAAGUUGAUUUCACGUUCAGAAAUGAUGAACCAGAACUCAUCGCUGUCUUGCAUGGCCAUAUUGAAGGGCCUCACUUUCAAUUCUUGCUUUUACACAAACUUUGGCCAAUUAAAUUGACGAAUAUUUCCAUCAUUAAAGACAGCACUGGAAAAGAGACUUUGAGAUGGAAAUUUCAAACUCGCUGAUCUGUCAUCAGAAAAGAAAAAAAACAGCUGGAGAUUUGCAGGUACUUGACCCAACGUGGGAAAACCUCUGUGUAUAAAUUGAAUCACGCUUUAUAAUUUCAGACGCAAAGAAAAUUGCAGGAAACACUCUUAGACUUGCCUUGAUGCAUUUAGGCAAAACUGGAACCUUUUUGGCAUUUUGCUAAGUGCUGAGACUCACUAUUUUUACAUAAAGUGUUGUACAUGUCAUCAGGGUUGGUUGCUUAUGAUAAGCUCUUUACCUGUAGCAGGUAAACGAACAUUUUCAGCAAUAAUGAUGACAUCUUUUGACCGUAGCAGAAAGCAAACACCGUCUCCAUAGACAGCAUGUAAUUUCAGCCAUUUUUUUUCUCUUUCCUAGUCCUAAUUACCUUUCUACGUUGUGAUUUCCCAGGGCGCUAGGCGUCCACCUGUCACACAAGUUAUUAAGGGUGACCCAAAGCAUUGUAGGGACUCAUAAAUAACCCCCCAACUUGUCCAAAUUUGCUGAACAAUAGAAUUCUAACAUGGACAUUACAUUUUAUUUGACUGCCAAGCAAAGAAGUCAACUGCAUUCUCCUAAAUUCAAAACAUCAGAACAAAUAUUUCUUAAUUUUUUCUGGGAAUAUGUUACCCGGAGAGCAGAACCCCACAUCUAUAAGACCCGAGGUUGUCCAUCUUUGAGAAUGCAAUGUACAUGUACCGAACAGUCUAGUGGGAUUUUUGCUCAGAAAACUUAACAGCUGUGUCUGACAUGGAGAGAAUGAUUACUAUUAACCACUCUUAUUGCUUACGAACACAUCUUGGUAGAAGGUACCCUGCUCUGUUCUCUGAAUUAUGGGCUCACUACCCAGGCUACUUACAAGAACCAGUCGAGGACACAUCACAUGUACAUGUGCAUGUGUGCACUGCUUUAUGGUGCGACUUAUCUUUGGACUGGUGGACACAACUCCAUGGCAACCACCCAAGUGUGUACACAAUGCACUGCACGUGUUUUGAAUACCAUUGAAGAUAUUGCUAUUACUGGAGUCCAUAUUUCUCAUCAUUAUCAUCGUCGUCAUGAUGCAGCUAUCUAUAACACCACUCACUAUCCAUCUUCAUCUUGACUUCAUAUCCUCUGCUCUCUUUUAUCAUGGGCUCAACAUCUUUCUUUGCACAGAUUUCACACGGCCCUUAAGCUGUGGCUGGGCAGCAUUUGAGCUUGCAUUUGAUUUGGUUCAAUUAUAUCAGCCUUCCGGUCGGUUUCUAGAUGAAACGUUUGAGAGAUUUUCAGGGGAAACCAUAUCUCAAAUUAAACCAAUACAAUCCUUAUGUUUCAGAAUGAAAGUAAAGCUUUUGAUUUUCUGCAAAAAAAAACAAAAUUGAAGUUCACUCUGCUUAGAUUACACCUUUAAUUUUCAGCUGUUAAACUCACCAAUUUCGAAAUCUGUUCUAAACGGUUUCCAGUGUUUGGCGCAAAGAUUGUUGUAAAGAAAACAAAAAGUCAUUGCAAGUUUUGCCAAUUCCUGCAUGAUUGGAAUUUCAAAAGCAUUGAGAAAAGAUUAUUUUUGCUGCCAGUCUAAACUUUUGCACGGUGGUAUCCAUUUGAGUUUCUGUACCUUUAAAAAUGAGUUGAGGUGAUGCAGUGCUCUCAAAAUUGGGUAUUUUUGUCUGUUGCAUUUUGGUUAACUGAAUAUCACGGGAAGGGACAUAAAUGAAGAAAGUGUACAUUUCAGUUGUAAUACACUAGAAUAGAGCAAGGCCUUGUAUAUAUCAAAUGUGAAUACACUCUAUCUGUACAUGUAAGCAGGACCUUUGUAAGGCGGAAGUUAUCUUUUUGAAUACAAUUACUCAGAUUUCUACUUAACAUUCCCAUGUCUUGAUGUAAUGAGCAGUCUGUAGUCAGUAGAUGAUGCAAGAUUUGAUGAAGUUGAUCUUCAUGUUGUCACAAAUUAUUUUUGUAUUCUUUUCAUUAUGUUCUUUGUAUCAGAGUAGGGAAACAAUAUUACAAAAGCGUAAAGAUUGUCUUGUAUGGGAAUUUUUAUCCCAAAUUUCUAAAUAUUGUAUAUUAUACAUCGGGCAUUGAUGGAAAAUCACUCUAUAAGUAAUAUAAAAAAAAUCAGGGGAUGGAUAUAUCUUAAUCGUUGUUUGAAUUUCAAUGUAGCAUACUUUUUUCACUUUUUUUUUUUUCACAAAGAUGUGCAGCUCCAGUUAAUGCCCAAUUCAGCCACAAAACUGUAAGGGACAAUCAAAUAGGUGUGUGGGUUGGUUGAACUUGCAGGUUUCAUCAGAUUACCCAGAAUUUUCAGAUAAAUACCAUGGAAAUGCAAAGGAGGUAUUAAGGUUUUUGUCUGGUUCCCACGGCAACAUGCAGUUCUCAUACUUUCCAUUUUGACAUCGUUUUCAACAGGUCACAUUUUAAAUUCUUAAUACUUGGAAGAGGUCAGAGUGUAUUUCCUUCUUUUUUGAAAGGUUGCUUACAUAAAAGUUGAGAAGUAAAAGCAAAACAGACUUCCAACAACCUUGAUUCUGCAUUUUAAUUCUCAGCUCAUUUAAUCACUUUCAUCAGCAAAAAGCUGUCAACGUUCUCUCAGUUUGAAAUUUUGUUUUUAACCAAUGUUGAAGCACCAACAAGCUAAACCAUUCUUAUUUCAUGUAUGAAUUUGCCUGUGUCUUGCAGAUUCUCUUAAGCUUUGUUCUAUCUUAGAAAAUAAAAGCAGCGGUAAAUUAUCUUCUGGAUUGCAAUUAGUUACUAAAUGCAUUUAAAUUCUCCAGUACCUUCUGUUUAAAAGCAUGCUGUGCAUUGCUGUGAAUGCCCUUUGAGUUUAUGCGUCCAUUUUAUUUAUAUUUUCUUUUUCACGUCUAAAAGUUACUUCACUGAAUUAGUAACAGACAGGGAAAAGGAGUUUCUUCCAUGUUAUUUAGCAAAAACUGGAGUUGUAAAAAUUUCCCUUUCUCUAACACAAUCAUGCACUUUGCCACUGACCGUUUAUUAAUGCUGCAACAUUUAUCGGCAGUGAAUGGAAUACAUGUAUUUGGAUUACAUACACAGAAAUUAUAACUAAGGCAAAAUGGUUUGAAGUACCUAGAAGUGAGGACAGGGACCCAGUCUGCCUAUAGUGCUUAUUCCGUGGCUUGAGUUUAGAGGAACCUGACUGAUUGCUUGAAAUAAUCUUCCAAAUCCUAGUACUGAAGUUUGCCUGAAAUAAUAAAUGACCACAAGUCCAGUUUUUUAAAACAGUUUGUCAGAAUUUGUAAGCAUUUGUUGCCCAUACAGUUUUUAAAAUCAGUCUUUAAGUCGGCAGACCUAUGCCUAGAAUGUAGAAGAGUAGGCCAAUAUAUGUAAAUGACUCUCCUCUGUAAAACAAGGAUAUAUUUAGAGAAAUAUUUGUUUCCUUGGAACAUCGCGUGGACUGACAAUACCAUGUUUAUUGUGACCUUUUUUUAUAAGUCAUGCUGUCAUACAUUGCAAGUGGAAUAAAGGAAUUAUUAAAUUGAAUACAAACUUACCUACAUUGUAUACCAAGCUCUAUUGUUAAUUACAGAAAUUAUUUUUUUAAGAAAUCAGCUGAUAAAAGGAAAAAUUACCCAGCUGUUGAAAUACAAUCUUUUCUUGAUGUAGCCAUGUUCUGAAAUGGGGCAUUUCAAUAGUUCAAGAAAAUCAGUCCAAAUGAAUGCUGCGUUGUGACUGCGACCAGUUCAGAACCCGGAACUUUCACCCAAACUUAAAUCGUUUUUAUUCCAAUUUGGAGUAAAUGAACCUGGAAAACCCGAGGUCUUUUCUAUAUCAUAUUUUCUGUCCGCUUUCCAAUCACUGGCUUUGGUUUGUGGUUUGUAGAAGUUGUUUCUCAAUGCCAGUACAAGUUCCAUCAGAUCUCUUUGAGUUUGACCGUAUUUUCUUAUUCUGUGGUAUUUGCAAAUUAUAUUUUUUGAUACAUUUUGCAAGCAAAAGGGAAAUGACCCUUACCUGUUCCUUUUGCACACAUCUAAAGAGUAAUGUUUCUCAGAGUUUUGUAAAUUGUACAGAUUGGACAACAUAAUGGGUGGAAGAUUUUUAAUUAAAGAGUAAUAACGAUGGUAUGAACAUUUGCCAAAUGCAAUAAGCUGUGUACCUACAUGUAUGGAUAAACCUUCUACAUGUACAAGUGCGUAGUGUUGGAUGUAGACACUAGCUGUAUUUGGAGUUAGACUUUGGCCUGUAUAUUGUACAUCAGACUUGUAGGAGCCAUUUAUUUCAAUGCUUCAUGGGAUCGAAAACUGAAUUCCCCAAGACUGGAAAGAGUUUUGUGUGUUUAUUUACUCAGAAUAAUCCUUCGAAUAAAGGACUUCACAAGGAAUUUCCAUUAUGCGACAGUUCCGUCAGUAAGUUUGUCCUGACAGAAUAAUUAUGGCCCAGAACAAGCUGGACAGAUACAUGUCUUUGCCUGUCAGAUUAACGUAUUUGUAUAAAAACAUGGCUGGUCUUCCCCUGACAGCUAUUUUUAUUCUCUACUCUUUCAAGAGGCAGGCCUGUGCUGUAUAUGUUUGAAGUUUGUGAUCAUAUUCAAGAAUUUUAACUUGAGAACAGAGAACUGGACUUCCUGAAUUAGCAAUUAGUACUUAAUGGAUUGGGUAAUCAGUGCUCUUGUGCAAGAGUUUGCUAUGUGUGGUCUUUUUGGCUAGAGGGGUUGAGGAAGGGGGUGUAAGGAAAGGAUUGUAACAACAUGUACUUCAACUCUUCGUUUAAAUUACGUUACUAUCUUAUUUUUGGAAUGAAAUAGAAAGUAGUCACAUUUUUACUCCGGACUACAUACACGUAUCAAAUGUUUACAGGUGAGCGUCAUCUGGCAUAGGUGGAAUCUAUUAACUUUUUGUCCAUAAUGCGACCAAAACUUUUUCUUUUUUAUUUGAAGUAACUGUAUGUUUUGCUUUUUGUGUUGAAACAAAGGAUGAUGUAUGAAUAAAACUUUUUGGAAUGAA